rnacentral:rRNA from 1 species
GACGAACGCUGGCGGCGUGCUUAACACAUGCAAGUCGAACGGAAAGGCCCUUCGGGGUACUCGAGUGGCGAACGGGUGAGUAACACGUGGGUGAUCUGCCCUGCACUUUGGGAUAAGCCUGGGAAACUGGGUCUAAUACCGAAUAGGACCACGCGCUUCAUGGUGUGUGGUGGAAAGCUUUUGCGGUGUGGGAUGGGCCCGCGGCCUAUCAGCUUGUUGGUGGGGUAAUGGCCUACCAAGGCGACGACGGGUAGCCGGCCUGAGAGGGUGACCGGCCACACUGGGACUGAGAUACGGCCCAGACUCCUACGGGAGGCAGCAGUGGGGAAUAUUGCACAAUGGGCGCAAGCCUGAUGCAGCGACGCCGCGUGAUGGAUGACGGCCUUCGGGUUGUAAACCUCUUUCAAUAGGGACGAAGCGCAAGUGACGGUACCUAUAGAAGAAGCACCGGCCAACUACGUG